ACACCUCAAAUAUAUUUUUAAACUUUCUGUACUCAUUUGUUUCUUAAAUUCUAUUUUUCAUUAUUUUUCACUCUUUUUAUUUUUUCUUUAAUUUUAUUUUCAUUUUUUAAUUCAUUUAUCUCAAUCUUUAUUUUUUUUUCUCUCUUUUUUCCCCAAGCAUUAUCUAUUUCUUCUUUUUUUUUCUUUUUUUUUUAAAAUUCAUUUGUCUUUAACCUUUAUUUUUAGUUUUUAUUAUUUCUC
rnacentral:lncRNA from 1 species